AUGGAAAACACGUGUUUUACUCAUCCAAAUCCCACGUGACUCACUCUUCAUAUUGUUUCGUUUGUUAUCCAUUUUUUUCCAAAAUAAAUGCAUUUUAAUUGCCAGCUGGAUAAAUCAAGGCCUAACAACUCAAAAUCAAUUCCCUAAAUUACCCUCGUGAAUCACAUUAUAAAUGAGGCAAUCAUUACCAAUCAUUGGCACCGAAUCUUCCUCAUCCAAAGAAUCUUGCAUUCCUUCCCCAACCCUCAGUAUACGCUCACUUCAUCGUCGUGAGAGCUUCAUCAUUCGAAGCUCGACACGGCUGAGCUAAACCACUAUUGGAAGCUUCAACACUCGAUUACCAAUAUUCUCACGCUUGGACUAUUGAACAAAAGUAGGUCCCAGAAGCGAGAGGGGAAGGAGAGAGGCACGAGGAAGUUGAGAAGAGGUGUACCUAUGAUCAUUGUCAUCGUCGUCGCCGUCUCCGUUGUCGUCUACGGCGGGGACUCCUUAUUAAGAACUUUGCAAUAGACUUUGGACAAGCACUUGACCCGAACAUGGAGGGAGCAUUCAAGACUCAAGAAGACUUUGUAAUCCUUUAUGCGCUUUCUAGUUUAAGGCACUAUGCACCCACAAGGCUUUCUCUUGGGCUACCUGACAAUGAGACCUUUUAUUUCUGCACUACCUUGUAGUUUACAUGUACCCCCUCCCCUUUCGAAUGUAUGCUUUUACUUUCUUUAUCUUUUAUUGCUUGAUAGCCAUUCCUUAGGUAUUAGGAACGAUCACUCUUUCAAAAUCAAUAAGCAAACCCUUGAUCCAAUGUUAAGCGGUCUUUUUUCGAAUCAAACUCAAAAACAUAAUAAGAUAUGAUUAGGAUUGUAUGUCACGAGCCUUAAGUGGUAAAGAAGGGAUGAGAAUGGAGUUUUCCUACACCCGUUCUGAAUGCUUCGAACACAAGACGUGUGGCUUGGUAGUUCGAGGUAUUCACCUUUAUCCAUAGUCUUUAGUGCAAUCCGAAAUCAAUAACACCUUUUUCAAAACCUAAAAAUAACUUUAACACAUUCAAACCUUUUUGUUUGAGCCUUAGGGCAUCCACAUCGAAAAUCCUUUUUCAAGGUAUAAAAACAACAAAACAAACAACAUGUUUUACCCACGAACUACGGGACUCUGAUUUCUCACUUCAACAAGUGGGCAUACAUAGGCACGAGGACCCAAUCCUUGGAGAGAACACUAAUUUAAAAUCUACCUCCACUCUGCAAACCUUUGACAAGCAAACAUUUGAUAAACAAAUCUCAUUCAAGCGUAAACAUCCUAGAUGGUUCCCAUGGAGUACCAUGGAUGUGAGAGGUGCUAAUACUUUCCCCUUGCAUAACUGACUUCCGAACCUGUUCGUAGUUGCGAUGACCAUUCUUUGGGAUUUUCUCGAUAUUUUCCCUUUCCUUUGGAAUAAAUAAAAAUCGAUGGUGACUCUGUAUUUUUCGCGUAGCGACAUGAUCUCUCUACACUGUUAAGUGUUUGAUUAAAAAAUCAAUAACAAAGCCGAAGCUCUGAUACCAAUUGAAGGUGGAGAAAAACAAGAAAGGGGAGUUUGAAUUGUUUUCACAAUAAUUAAAAACUUUUGCAACACCACAUACACGAAAGUAAAUGCUAAAAAUACAAGAAAUUUAUCCUGGUUCGCUUGAAAAUCAAAGUUACUCCAGUCCACCCGGCCAAGGUGAUUUCGCCUUCAAUAAGGACUUAAUCCAAUAAUCUCAAUAGAUUACAAAAACGUCUACAGACUUCAACAACUCACUUGAGGAAAAUCAACAACUUUAAAGUACUAUAGGUGUUUGCUUUAGUGCUUCUAGGUAAGCAGUAUGAAACACAGUUAAGAAUAAUGAUCAAUGAUCACACUAUAAGCAAAAACUCUUGUGUGAUUACUGAAUUUUACAAACAAAAGGAUUUAGUAUAUAGUUCAAAUGUAUUGUAGAGUAUACAAGUUUUGAUCAAAGACUUUGAACUCCA